rnacentral:ncRNA from 1 species
AGACAAGAUCACGAGUGCAGUCACUCACCCGUUUUGGGGACCUUGGUACAGGCAGGCCGAGAAUCCCCUUCUUUACACCCGGAACCCAUACCGCUCGCAGCGACGGGUUCCAGCCGGUUUGGGGAACCCUGGUACAGGCAGGCCAGGGAUUCCCUCUUUAACACCCGGGCU